CUCCCUCCCUCCUUCCCUCCUCCGCCUCUCGGAAACCGCCGCCGCCAAUAAGGCUUCAGGUUUGUGCCAGCAGGGGGAGUGGAAGAGAUAUUACUGCCGGAAUGACCGAAAAAUGAACUGUUUGGUUGAUUCUUCUUUUUUGGAAUUUACUGAAUUCUUCAAAAUUAUUGUGUUUUUAACUACAAAUCGAUUUCCUUGGGUUUUAAGCUCGCAAGAAAAGAACUUUAAAUUUUAUAAUUUGGUCAUGUUAACGCGAAAAAAAUAAAAAUAACAGGUCUGCCUCGAUAACCCUACAUGAUAUAUCUUUCUUUUUAGGACUGCUCAGCUGGUCUUGAGUAUGAGGUGAAAGCUUGAGAGCACGUGGAAGAGUAAAACAAAUGACUUCGUUCACUUCACCCCAAAGGCGUACCUGUGCAUCUAGUUAGGAAGAACAUUUUAUAACUUACCUCAACGUCGAGCAUGGUCAGGGUUAUUGUGUUGUCUAUUCCGAGAAAGAUGUGCCUGUAAAUUUAAUCUUAUUUCAACAAGAGUUGUUAAGUUGAUUCUUAUCAGUCUGCUCAUUAGAGUUGAUGAUAACAUGAAAUAUUCAUGGUUAAUGCU